rnacentral:rRNA from 1 species
ACGGAUUAGUGGCGAACGGGUGAGUAAUGCUUAGGAAUCUGCCUAUUAGUGGGGGAUAACGUAGGGAAACUUACGCUAAUACCGCAUACGACCUACGGGUGAAAGGGGGCGUUUAGCUCUCGCUAAUAGAUGAGCCUAAGUCGGAUUAGCUAGUUGGUGGGGUAAAGGCCUACCAAGGCGACGAUCUGUAGCUGGUCUGAGAGGAUGAUCAGCCACACUGGGACUGAGACACGGCCCAG